AGUGAACGUUGGCGGCGUGGAUUAGGCAUGCAAGUCGCGCGGAAAGGCCCCGCAAGGGGUGCUCGAGCGGCGUAAGGGACAGUAAUGCGUAGAUACCUACCCUUCGGCCCGGGAUAGCUGCGGGAAACUGCAAUUAAUACCGGAUAAUGUCGCAAGACCAAAGGUGUGAUUCCACCGUUGGAUGGGUCUGCGUCCUAUUAGCUAGUUGGUGAGGUAAUGGCUCACCAAGGCAAAGAUGGGUAGCAGGUGUGAGAGCACGACCUGCGUCACUGGGACUGAGACACUGCCCAGACACCUACGGGUGGCUGCAGUCGAGAAUCUUCGGCAAUGGGCGCAAGCCUGACCGAGCGACGCCGCGUGCGGGAUGAAGGCCCUCGGGUUGUAAACCGCUGUCGUAGGGGAGGAAUGGCCGGAAGGUUCUCCUUUCGGUUUGACCUAUCCUAGGAGGAAGUCAGGGCUAAGCUCGUGCCAGCCGCCGCAGUAAAAC
rnacentral:rRNA from 1 species